rnacentral:rRNA from 1 species
GAUGAACGCUGGCGGCGUGCCUAAUACAUGCAAGUCGAGCGAACAGACGAGGAGCUUGCUCCUCUGACGUUAGCGGCGGACGGGUGAGUAACACGUGGAUAACCUACCUAUAAGACUGGGAUAACUUCGGGAAACCGGAGCUAAUACCGGAUAAUAUAUUGAACCGCAUGGUUCAAUAGUGAAAGACGGUUUUGCUGUCACUUAUAGAUGGAUCCGCGCCGCAUUAGCUAGUUGGUAAGGUAACGGCUUACCAAGGCAACGAUGCGUAGCCGACCUGAGAGGGUGAUCGGCCACACUGGAACUGAGACACGGUCCAGACUCCAACGGGAGGCAACAGUAGGGAAUCUUCCGCAAUGGGCGAAAGCCUGACGGAGCAACGCCGCGUGAGUGAUGAAGGUCUUCGGAUCGUAAAACUCUGUUAUUAGGGAAGAACAAAUGUGUAAGUAACUAUGCACGUCUUGACGGUACCUAAUCAGAAAGCCACGGCUAACUACGUG